rnacentral:rRNA from 1 species
GACGAACGCUGGCGGCGUGCUUAACACAUGCAAGUCGAACGGAAAGGCCCUGCUUUUGUGGGGUGCUCGAGUGGCGAACGGGUGAGUAACACGUGAGUAACCUGCCCUUGACUUUGGGAUAACUUCAGGAAACUGGGGCUAAUACCGGAUAGGAGCUCCUGCUGCAUGGUGGGGGUUGGAAAGUUUCGGCGGUUGGGGAUGGACUCGCGGCUUAUCAGCUUGUUGGUGGGGUAGUGGCUUACCAAGGCUUUGACGGGUAGCCGGCCUGAGAGGGUGACCGGCCACAUUGGGACUGAGAUACGGCCCAGACUCCUACGGGAGGCAGCAGUGGGGAAUAUUGCAACAUGGGCGGAAGCCUGAUGCAGCAACGCCGCGUGCGGGAUGACGGCCUUCGGGCUGUAAACCGCUUUCGCCUGUGACGAAGCGUGAGUGACGGUAAUGGGUAAAGAAGCACCGGCUAACUACGUG